rnacentral:tRNA from 1 species
GGUGGCUCAAUGGUAGAGCGCUUGCCUUGUAUGCCUGAGACCCUGGGUUCGAUUCCUCAGCACCA